rnacentral:rRNA from 1 species
UCUGGUUGAUCCUGCCAGUAGUUAUAUGCUUGUCUCAAAGAUUAAGCCAUGCAUGUCUAAGUACACACGAAUUAAAAGUGAAACCGCAAAAGGCUCAUUAUAUCAGUUAUGGUUCCUUAGAUCGUUAACAGUUACUUGGAUAACUGUGGUAAUUCUAGAGCUAAUACAUGCAAUUAAAACAUGAACCUUAUGGGACAUGUGCUUUUAUUAGGCUAAAACCAAGCGAUCGCAAGAUCGUUAUAUUGGUUGAACUCUAGAUAACAUGCAGAUCGUAUGGUCUUGUACCGACGACAGAUCUUUCAAAUGUCUGCCCUAUCAACUUUUGAUGGUAGUAUCUAGGACUACCAUGGUUGCAACGGGUAACGGGGAAUCAGGGUUCGAUUCCGGAGAGGGAGCCUGAGAAACGGCUACCACAUCUAAGGAAGGCAGCAGGCGCGUAAAUUACCCACUCCCAGCUCGGGGAGGUAGUGACGAAAAAUAACAAUACAGGACUCAUAUCCGAGGCCCUGUAAUUGGAAUGAGUACACUUUAAAUCCUUUAACAAGGACCAAUUGGAGGGCAAGUCUGGUGCCAGCAGCCGCGGUAAUUCCAGCUCCAAUAGCGUAUAUUAAAGUUGUUGCGGUAAAUACGUUCGUAGUUGAACUUGUGCUUCAUACGGGUAGUACAACUUACAAUUGUGGUUAGUACUAUACCUUUAUGUAUGUAAGCGUAUUACCGGUGGAGUUCUUAUAUGUGAUUAAAUACUUGUAUUUUUUCAUAUGUUCCUCCUAUUUAAAAACCUGCACUAGUGCUCUUAAACGAGUGUUAUUGUGGGCCGGUAUUAUUACUUUGAACAAAUUAGAGCGCUUAAAGCAGGCUUCAAAUGCCUGAAUAUUCUGUGCAUGGGAUAAUGAAAUAAGACCUCUGUUCUGCUUUCAUUGGUUUUCAGAUCAAGAGGUAAUGAUUAAUAGAAGCAGUUUGGGGGCAUUAGUAUUACGACGCGAGAGGUGAAAUUCUUGGACCGUCGUAAGACUAACUUAAGCGAAAGCAUUUGCCAAAGAUGUUUUCAUUAAUCAAGAACGAAAGUUAGAGGUUCGAAGGCGAUCAGAUACCGCCCUAGUUCUAACCAUAAACGAUGCCAGAUAGGGGAUUGGGUGUAGC